GACAGAGGGUGCAAACGUUGCUCGGAAUUACUGGGCGUAAAGCGUGCGCAGGCGGUUUUGUAAGCCAGAUGUGAAAUCCCCGGGCUCAACCUGGGAAUGGCAUUUGGGACUGCAAGGCUUGAGUGCGGCAGAGGAGACUGGAAUUCCUGGUGUAGCAGUGAAAUGCGUAGAUAUCAGGAGGAAUACCGAUGGCGAAGGCAGGUCUCUGGGCUGACACUGACGCUCAUGCACGAAAGCGUGGGGAGCAAACAGG
rnacentral:rRNA from 1 species